rnacentral:rRNA from 1 species
UCGCCUGUUUAUCAAAAACAUAGCUAUUUGUUUUAUAAUUAGUUUUUUCUGCCCAGUGAUUUAAACGGCCACUAUAGUGCUAAGGUAGCAUAAUAAUUUGCCUUUUAAUUGUAGGCUAGUAUAAAUGGAAAAAUAAAUCUAAACUUUAUUAAUAAUAUUUUUAAAAUUUAAAUUAAAAGUGAAAAUACUUUUAUUUAAAAAAAAGACGAAAAGACCCUAGGAUCUUUAAUUUAUUGUUUAUAAAAACAUAAAAUUUUUGUUGGGGUGAUAAAAGAUAUACAUCUUUUGUAAAAUAACAAUUUACUUUUAAAGAAUAGUUACCCUAGGGAUAACAGGCUUAUCUUUUUUGAUAGUUCAUAUAUAAAAAAAGGUUUAGCACCUCGAUGUUGGCUUAAGAAUAUAUAAGGUGCAGUAGUUUUAUUAAAUGGCUUGUUCCGCCAGUAAUUUCUUACGUGAUCUGAUUCAGACCGGAAUCU